rnacentral:rRNA from 1 species
UACGUAGGGGGCAAGCGUUAUCCGGAUUUACUGGGUGUAAAGGGAGCGCAGACGGCAGUGCAAGUCUGGAGUGAAAGCCCGGGGCCCAACCCCGGGACUGCUCUGGAAACUGUACGGCUAGAGUACGGGAGGGGCAGGCGGAAUUCCUAGUGUAGCGGUGAAAUGCGUAGAUAUUAGGAGGAACACCGGCGGCGAAGGCGACCUGCUGGACCGAAACUGACGUUGAGGCUCGAAAGCGUGGGGAGCAAACAGG